rnacentral:tRNA from 1 species
GCCUCUGUGGCGCAUUUGGAUAGCGCGUUCGGCUGUUAACCGAAAGGUUGGUGGUUCAAGCCCACCCAGGGACG